AGCCCUCUGUAUUCGUGCUGAGAUUUCGUCAGAGAUCAACCCGUUGGGGCUGAUGGUACUUCCCAAAUAAAGUGAAGCG
rfam:Trichobilharzia regenti genome assembly, scaffold: TRE_scaffold0037506